rnacentral:rRNA from 1 species
AGUAAUGCUUGGGAAUCUGGCUUAUGGAGGGGGAUAACUACGGGAAACUGUAGCUAAUACCGCGUAGAAUCGGAAGAUGAAAGUGCGGGACCGCAAGGUCGCAUGCCAUGAGAUGAGCCCAAGUGGGAUUAGGUAGUUGGUGGGGUAAAGGCCUACCAAGCCUGCGAUCUCUAGCUGGUCUGAGAGGAUGGCCAGCCACACUGGAACUGAGACACGGUCCAG